rnacentral:lncRNA from 1 species
UCCCUAUGGUGCUCUAGCCAUCCUUUGUAGAGCUUGACUUUGUAGUUCUAGUACAACUCAAUCUUAUGCAGUCGGACAUCUCGAGCCCUCUUAUGAUCUGGAAAGUUGUACCUCCUCUAUACAAAAUUAUCAGAAAAAAUAGUUAUAAAAUUAUUCUAACCAAAUAUAGUGUAAACAUAUCACAUGCAUAUAUAUAAUUAAGAUGCACUUAUCCAAAUCUCUUCCCACACUC